GGAUUAGAUACCCUGGUAGUCCUAGCCGUAAACGAUCGGCACUAAGCAAGGGGUCUCCCAAGGAUUCCUUGCCGUAGCUAAUGUGUUAAGUGCCGCGCCUGGGGAGUAUGGUCGCAAGGCUAAAACUCAAAGGAAUUGACGGGGGCUCACACAAGCGGUGGAGCAUGUUGUUUAAUUCGAUGCAACGCGAAGAACCUUACCUGGGCUUGACAUCAACGUGGUACCAAACCGAAAGGGGCGGGACCCUCUAUGAGGGAGCGUUGACAGGUAUUGCAUGGCUGUCGUCAGCUCGUGCUG
rnacentral:rRNA from 1 species